rnacentral:rRNA from 1 species
UACGGAAGGCAGCAGUGGGGAAUAUUGCACAAUGGGCGCAAGCCUGAUGCAGCCAUGCCGCGUGUAUGAAGAAGGCCUUCGGGUUGUAAAGUACUUUCAGUCGUGAGGAAGGUGUUAAGGUUAAUAACCUUAGCAAUUGACGUUAGCGACAGAAGAAGCACCGGCUAACUCCGUGCCAGCAGCCGCGGUAAUACGGAGGGUGCGAGCGUUAAUCGGAAUUACUGGGCGUAAAGGGCACGCAGGCGGUUAAUUAAGUUGGAUGUGAAAUCCCCGGGCUUAACCUGGGAAUGGCAUUCAAGACUGGUUAGCUAGAGUCUUGUAGAGGGGGUAGAAUUCCAUGUGUAGCGGUGAAAUGCGUAGAGAUGUGGAGGAAAUACCGGUGGCGAAGGCGGCCCCUGGACGAAAGACUGACGCUCAUGUGCGAAACGCGUGGGGAGGCAAACAGGAGUUAGAUACC